rnacentral:rRNA from 1 species
CCUACGGGUGGCAGCAGUGGGGGAUAUUGCACAAUGGGGGGAACACUGAUGCAGCGACGCCGCGUGUGGGAAGACGGUCCUCUGGAUUGUAAACCACUGUCCCCAGGGACGAAAAUGACGGUACCUGGGGAGGAAGCUCCGGCUAACUACGUGACAGCAGCCGCGGUAAUACGUAGGGAGCGAGCGUUGUCCGGAAGUACUGGGUGUAAAGGGAGCGUAGGCGGGGAUGGAAGUUGGGUGUCAAAACUACCGGCUCAACUGGUAGUCGCACUCAAAACUGCAGCUCUUGAGUGAAGUAGAGGCAGGCGGAAUGCCUAGUGUAGCGGUGAAAUGCGUAGAUAUUAGGAGGAACACCAGUGGCGAAGGCGGCCUGCUGGGCUUUUACUGACGCUGAGGCUCGAAAGUGUGGGGAGCAAACAGGAUUAGAUACCCCGGUAGUC